GACCAAAGGGGGCGAGCGCAAGCAGCUUCCACCGAAGGAGGAGCCUGCGUCCGAUUAGCUAGUUGGUGGGGUAACGGCCUACCAAGGCGACGAUCGGUAGCCGGCCUGAGAGGGCGACCGGCCACACUGGAACUGAGACACGGUCCAGACUCCUACGGGAGGCAGCAGUGGGGAAUAUUGCGCAAUGGGCGAAAGCCUGACGCAGCGACGCCGCGUGGGUGAUGAAGGCCUUCGGGUUGUAAAGCCCUGUCGGGUGGAACGAAUAACUCAGUGGCGAAUAACCGCUAGGUGUGACGGUACCACCGAAGGAAGCCCCGGCUAACUACGUGCCAGCAGCCGCGGUAAGACGUAGGGGGCGAGCGUUGUUCGGAUUUACUGGGCGUAAAGCGCGCGUAGGCGGCCAGAUAAGUCGGGUGUGAAAUCCCUCGGCUCAACCGAGGGUCCGCAUCCGAUACUGCUUGGCUCGAGUCUAGGAGAGGAAAGCGGAAUUCCCAGUGUAGCGGUGAAAUGCGUAGAUAUUGGGAGGAACACCGGUGGCGAAGGCGGCUUUCCGGACUAGUACUGACGCUGAGGCGCGAAAGCUAGGGGAGCGAACGGGAUUAGAUACCCCGGUAGUCCUAGCCGUAAACGAUGGGCACUAGGUGUGGGAGGUAUUGACCCCUUCCGCGCCGAAGCUAACGCAUUAAGUGCCCCGCCUGGGGAGUACGGCCGCAAGGCUAAAACUCAAAGGAAUUGACGGGGGCCCGCACAAGCGGUGGAGCAUGUGGUUUAAUUCGACGCAACGCGAAGAACCUUACCAGGGCUUGACAUCCCGCGAAUCCUGCCGAAAGGUAGGAGUGCCCGCAAGGGAGCGUGGAGA
rnacentral:rRNA from 1 species